GUGGCGCGGCGCGUAGGGCCGGAGGUCGUCGGGGCUGGUGACGGCAGCGCGGUGCACAUGGCCGGUGGGUGGUGGCGCAAAGCACGCGGUAGGUGGGGAUCGGGAGGUUGGGGAUGGGGUUUUUUCUUUUUAUUUUUCUGCCCGUGCCGGCUCGCUAUUUUUCUUACAGAGUUCGGGAGGACCUGCUCGGCUUAUAUAGGGCGCUGUGAUCAGAAUAGUGCUUUACCUACGAGUGGUACGUCAUUGGCGUUUUUGCAUAAAAGUCCCUAUGGUUCAGGUUAUUCAACCCGCAGUCCAUGUAAAAGUCAACCGAAACGGUAGGAGCGGUAGAAAAAAAAGAACGCAGCCUCCCAAUCCCGUCUCCACCUCCGGUGAGCCGCCACCCCCUACCCUACCGCCGCGCACCGGACUGCCUGACAGGGGAGCGGAGUGUUGCACCGCGAUUCUCGCGCCGGCAGGCGGCGCGCUCCUCGAGCGGCUGGAGGCGGCGUGGCUGCUCGAUGCAGAACGAAGGCGGCGGCCGGGGCUUGCAGGGGACGGAUUCGUGUGCGGCAGGGGCUGGGGAGGCAGAUCCGGAGGCGUUCGGCGAGACGAGGUUCGCUGGUGACGAGGAGGAAGGCCGGAGCGCCGCUUCCGGGGAGGAUCCAUAGCAUCCGCGGCUCCUGGACAGAAAGGAGACACAGAGGUGAGGGAGAGAAGAAGAGAAAAAGGAGGGGCGGUGCGGCGACCUAGGCCGGAGCUCACCGGUGCCGGACAACGGCGGACGGGCGCCACUGCUGCUGCCUGCCUGGUGUAGUGCAAUCCAGGAAUGCAGCAGGCCAGAACAAUGGACAAUGAUGGUACUAUGAGUGGCUAGGUAUUGGCCUAUUGUGGCAAGAUGCCGGUGACUAUGAGGUGUAUAAAAUCUGGAUCUAUAAAUGACCCAGGUUGCCUUGGGGGCCAAAUGCUGCAAACGGGUCAAGGUUGGUUAUAUUUCUCCUUUGUCAUUUCUCUGGAUAAUCCUCUCUAGCAAGAUCACUUAGGACGAUAUAAUCUGCUAUUUACUUUCUAUAUGGUUUCAGUAUGAGAAGAUCACUUUAGGACAAUAUAAUCAGCUACCCAUGUGAUUUACUUCCACUGCGUUUCAGCAUGUUCAAUCUCUGUACAAGCGCGCAAAUGGACAUAUUUUGAUUUGGCGACUUGGUGUUUUAAUUGUUCUUACUGAAUACUGGAUCCUGGCACUUAUGUUAUCUACAUGUAGUAUGUUUCUAGCUCGAUGUCUACUGCUUCUCUUAAGGCCACAGUAGUUUCGAUCGACACUAUGUAUAUCUAAAUAAAAAUUUCAUUUGGAUCACAUAACAUUCUUUUUCUUGAAAAUUCACAUGGUUUAUUGGACUUGAAUUAGCAGUGUGGUUCAUGUGCACAUUGUGCUUAGUUAUCCUUUCUGUUAUCACAAGUCGAUGUGAUAAACACGAAGUAUGCACUUCCAUCUAUACUUCCGAUAAUAUUGGUGUCAAGUGGUAUUAAAAGUCUGAAACUGCAAUCGCAUAGUUUUGGUUGUUCAUACAAAUCUGCAUUUGGGUGUGUUUGUAAAAUUGUACGAGUAGUAACUUUGUAGAAGGAAUGCAGUCCCUUAAUCUAAUACUCCCUCUAUAAACAAAUAUAAGAGCAUUUAGAUCACUACUUUAGUAAUUUAAACACUCUUAUAUUUGUUUACAGAGGGAGUAGCGAUUUAACUUUUUUACGUGAAAUAGAACUGUCCUGUAACUUUGAAGACACCUCCAGAUGUUGUGAUUCUACAAAUUAUCUGGUACAUGCUCCUGCUUUUGCAAUACCUCUCUGAUUGUCUAUUAAGCUGCAAAAAUGCUAUGUGCCAAACACUUAAUGUUCGGUAGUUAACUCUAAACAUGAUAUCACUUACGAUCUACACAUGCAUGUUUAUUUCAUAAAAAUAAAAACAAUAUAUAAAAAAUAUGUAUCUAAUAUGUUGUAUUGGAAGUAAUAGUGUGAGGGAAGCAAUGCAAGUUUCUGUCAGGGAAGAAAACAUUCUAGAACUUUUGUUUUCCAUAAUAAGUCAAAACAGAAUGUGUUUUCUGAGAAUUAUACUAUUAUUUAUUCUGGAAGAAGGACGUGCUUCGUGACGUAUGCAUGCUAAAUGCGAGUUGUAUGUCGAUAAUUUCAUUUUAUUAGUUGUUCAGAAGAAUAAUGACAAUAGUUGUCUUACUCCAAUUCAUGAAGCAGAGUUUGUCAUAUAGGAUCUUCUUAUAUAACAGAAGCUAAGGUCCAUUGCACUCGACACAGUCUCCCUGAAAGACAAAUUCCAGUUUUAGAGUGUGGCAAUGACGCAAAUUCCUCGCUGCAAUCAGAGGAGAUCCAGUCAGGCUACAAACUUUUCCUGUAUGGUGGUAGGGAAACAUCGCCAUUAGUUUCAAUGAUUUACCAGCUAGAAGGACUUCACAGAAUUUUGCCAACAUCAUUGAUGAAGAUAUUAUUUUUCUUAUUCGUUUUUAGACAAGAAAGAACCAUAGAGAAUCUAAACCCUUGUACUAUAAUAGUACCCGCAGUACAACAAACCCCUAUCUCUAACAGAAGAUGAAAAUGAAUAGUUUUUUUUGUUGUAGGUUACCAAGAACAAGUGCAUCAUCAAACUAGAUGUUGUAUAUUAUCCGUCCAUAAUCUGGUUGUGUAUCUUGAAAAACACAAGUGUGUGCAUGAUUGUAGGGGCAGAGCAUAGUUUGAAUUUUAAAGCCAUUUAUAUUGUCCUGCAAAACUAUAAUUUUGAAGAAAGGUACAUUAAGUUAUGUCAUGCACAUGGAGAGUGUUGCAAUCUAUAAUGCCUUACAAGUCUCAGCUCCAUCAGGGCAGUUUUAUUAGUGUGUCACAAGCCUGCUAUUUCUAAUUUACAAAUUUUGUACUCCCUCUGUCCGGAAUUGCAUGUCAUAGAAAUGGAUGUAUCAGGAGUAGUUAUUUUAGUGUUUUACAUAAUGCAUAGAUUUUUCAGAACAGAAAGAAGUGAAUAUAUAAACUUAUUUUGCUUUCUUAUUUAGUUCCAGUUGACUUUAUAAAUCCCAAUUUCUCCAGUAUUGUAACUUUGUCAAAUAAUCAACUUAAACAGAUCUUUCUCCUUGGACAUCUUUCAAUUUGUAAUAUUAUGAUUUUCUUUCCCAGAAACCACUUCAACUAGCCUGGGGCUAUGUCUAUUAGUCCGUAAGUAUUUGUUGGAAUGAGAGAACACAUUGUAUGCAAGGUAACAAGCAACUAAAGCAAGUAGAGUUUUGCAAUUUCUUGGCAAGAUUGAGCCCCUGAACCCAGGAUGCAUGAUGAAGGAUCCAAUAUUUUAGGACUGACAUGCUUCUUAUUUAGUUUUUUUAGCUGCUGGCCUACUUCAAGUGUCUACAGUUUACAUGAUACACGUUUCUUCAAGGGUCUACAUGCUAUAGGAAGUAAGUUUCUUAUAGUAGUCAAACCUAGAUUACCAAUUUAUUGGAGCUAUUAUAUUUUAACCUGGAUAUCAAUUUAUUGGAUCAAUUGAGAGGUGACACUCUUGGAGAGUCAAGUAAUGUAAUAUAUUCUUUCUCUCUC